ACUCCUACGGGAGGCAGCAGUAGGGAAUUUUCCGCAAUGGACGAAAGUCUGACGGAGCAAUGACCGCGUGAGUGAUGAAGGUUUUCGAAUUGUAAAGCUCUGUUAGUAAGGGGAAGAAUAGCAAGAAUAGGAAAUGAUUCUUGUCUGACGGUACCUUACCAGAAAGCCACGGCUAACUACGUGCCAGCAGCCGCGGUAAU
rnacentral:rRNA from 1 species